rnacentral:lncRNA from 1 species
UGACUGCACAGAGAUCAACAGUGGUCUGUAUGGACUGACAGCACAGAGACCCACUUCGGUGUGUAUGGACUGAUAGCACAGAGACACCAAUGUCAGUCUGUAUGGACUGACAGCACAGAGACCAACAUUGUUCUGUAUGGACUGACUGCACAGAGACCCACAUCGGUCUGUAUGGACUGACAGCACAGAGACCAGCAUUGGUGUGUAUGGACUGACAUAACAGUGUGAUAACACCAAUGUCAGUCUGUACCCACUGAUAUAACAUCAUAACACCAACAUCAGUGUGUAUGGACUGCUAUAAUGCUGUGAUAACACCAAUGUCAGUCUGUGCCCAUUGAUAUAACACCGUCAUAACACCAACAUCAGUGUGUAUGGACUGAUAUAACGCUGUGAUAACACCAAUGUCAGUCUGUGCCCAUUGAUAUAACACCGUCAUAACACCAACAUCAGUGUGUAUGGACUGCUAUAAUGCUGUGAUAACACCAGUGUCAGUCUGUGCCCAUUGAUAUAACACCGUGAUAACACCAACAUCAGUGUGUAUGGACUGAUAUAACACCGUGAUACCACCAACGUCAGUCUGUAUGGACUGACAGCACAGAGACACCGACGUUGGUCUGUAAGGACUGACGUAACAGCAUGAAAGCACCAACAUCAGUCUGUUCUGACUGACAUAACACCACGAGGACACCAACAUCAGUCUGUUCCGACUGACACAACAGCAUGGCAGCACCAAUAUCGGCCUGUAUGGACUGCUGUAACACUGUGAUGGCCC